UGCUGGUACAACUAGCUGUGCAACGCUAGU
rnacentral:piRNA from 1 species